GUCAGGCUGGUCUCAAAACUCCUGACCUCAGGUGAUCCACCCAUCUUGGCCUCCCAAAGUGCUGGGAUUAUAGGCGUGAGCCACCGCACCCGGCGCACAACUCGUUUCUGUAAUGUUUCAUUGUAUAUAGGAUGUGUCAAAUACUUAUUUAUACAAAUUGAUGUGUUGUUAAUACUAGCUGAGGCCAUAGAGUAGAAUUAGGGGGCUUAAAUCUGGAUCUUCAUCCUGGUCUAAAAUAAAUUAAUUGUGACCUUGGACAGGUUAUGGAACCUUCUUUGACCUGAGAAUAAUUUUAUAAUCAAGUUGAAUUGCCUAUGUGAUUUGUAUCUGUCUUUAGUGUAGAUUAAUAAUUGAGAUUUUAAAACGGGAUGUUUAGGACUAGGCAUAUUUAUUUGUUAGGAAAAAGCCAACCAAAAGCUUACAUUUGGAUAAAUUCCACUUUUUUAGCCCUGACUAGUUCCAAGGUUUAAAACAAACCUCAAGGACUAUGAAUCUAUUGUCAGAAUAUCCUGGCAGAAGAGAGCAGACAGUCUUUAUUCAGUCUUUAUUUUUAUUAGUAAAUUACGUGAAUUAGUUUGAGCUUACCUAUAGAAAAAAUAGAAUAACGCUACCAUCUGCGAGUUGUUGGGACACAGUGUCGGUUUUGGCAUGAUUCGGGGUGGUUUGCACAGUGAACACCCAAGUGUGCUUUAUAGUUCCCUUGGCUUUGACCCUGUGCUAGAGCAUUGCCUGUUCUUCUCCUCUGCAUUGAAAGGAAUGUUUAUCCUUUUAAAUGUAUUCAGAAAGCCAGCACAUUAUGUUACUGCGUGUUCAAAGGUAUGAUGAUCCAGAAUAUCCCUCCAAGAAUUAUCUGAACUUUAUCAUGAACUGUAGUUGCACCUAAUUGAAGAUGGGAGUGUUAUUGUGUGUUUAUUGUAGGACCUUCAUCCCAGGAUAAUCACUGAAGGAUUUGAAGCUGUGAAGGAAAAGGCCCUUCAGUUUUUGGAAGAAGUCAAAGCUGUAGUGGGCUCCAUUUUGGCCAUUAAAAGAAAAGAUGAACUAUUGAUCUUUUUAUGGUUUUGUGAUCAUGGAGAUGAAACAUAAAUCUGAAACUGAUACAAGAGUGCAGAAAAGGGAGAAAAACUCAUAAAAGCUGAAAGAAAAUUCAUUGAAGAUAGAGUUAAAACAAAUAAUAGAACUGAAAAGCAAAGUCUGUGGUGAUUCAGUAAAGGAUUUGUUAUUAAUCAAAAGGGAAUUGACCCCUUUUCCUCAGAUGCUCUUUCAAAAGAAGGCGUAGUCGCUCUGCGCAGAGCUAAAAGGAGAAAUAUGGAGAGGUAUGAGUAGCAGAUUUAUCCAAGUAAUUUGACUUUUACUUAUUUUGCAAAUAAAUUGGGAUUAUUUCUUUUUCCUUAUACUUUAUUUUUGGGUUUUUCAACUGUAUAAUUAAUGGGCAUUAACUAUAUUCACAUUAUUUUGCACCCAUCAGCACUGUACAUCUCUAGAAUUUAUCAUCACAAACUGAAACUGUAUACCCAUUAAAUAGUUCCUCCCCAUUUCUCCCUCCCUCUUGCGCCUUGUAAACAUUAUUUUACUUUUUGUCUCUGAAUUCAGUAUACCUCCUCCCAAAGAGCUCACCACAAUAAAGGUUUUUUUAAAAAAUUAUUAUUUUUUGAGACAGUCUUGCUCUGUUGUGCAGUGGUAUGAUCUUGGUUCACUGCAACUUCCGCUUCCUGAGUUCUAGGAGUCUCAUGCCUCAGCCUCCCAAGUAGCUGGUAUUACGGGUGUCUGCCCCCAUGCCCGCUGAAUUGUUUUGUUUUGCUUUUUUAGUAGAGAUGGGGUUUUGCCAUGUUGGCUACGCUGGUCUCAAACUCCUGGCCUCAAGUGAUCCACCUACCUCAACCUCCCAAAGUGCCGGGAUUACUGGUGUGAGCCACCAUGCCUGGCCAACAAAGAGUUCUUGUCUACUUUUAGAUUUCAUUUGCUGACUUGGGGAGAGUGGUUUAAAUGGAGGGUUAAAAGACUAGUUUUCAGCUGGUUGAUGGCAAAUUAAAAGGCUUAGGUUUUACAUUUUAAAAUGUAAUUUUGUGUGUAAUUCUGAAAAAUUCCUUCCUAAAAAUUACUUGUCUUCUCUUUGAACUUCAGUGGUAACAUUGCUUAUCCAUCUCCCUUAAAAUGCUAUUUCAGGCUGACUCUUGCUUGGGGUGGGGUGGCCCUGAAUUCUUUUGAUGACCUCAGUCCUGACUGCUUGGGACAUGUAGGACUUGUAUAUGGGUAUACAUUGGUUCCUCUUCUCUCUUCACUCUUUGCACAAUCAUGUUGCUUCUACAUAUAGGAGUUCACCUUUAUUGAGAAGUGUUAACAACCCUCAUUCUGUCACAUUAUUGAUCAAAGGACCAAAUAAGCCCACACUUAGAUCAAAGAUGCAGUAAGGGAUGGCUUGAGGGCUGUCAAAAUUGCUAUUGAUGAUGGUUCUUGCUCAGAAUUCUGGUUCUGACCUUCAGGAAACAUUAGUUAAAAUUUAAGAAGAACAUUCAGAAUCAGUUCAGCUCGUGGGUGUGAACCUGAACACAGGUGAGCCAGUGGUAGCAGCAGAAGUAGGCAUUACGGGAUAACAAUUGUGUAAAGAAACAGCUUCAUCCACUCCUGCGCUGUGAUUGCCACCAACAUUAUCUUGGUUGAUGAGAUCAUGUGAGCUGGAAUGCCUUCCCUGAAAGGUUGAAUUGAAGCUUCCUCUCUGAGUCUUGAAGAUUCUGCAAAGUGAUCCUGAGGAAUACAGCUGUGGAGUUUUUGUCCAUGCUUCAAAUGAGUUUCAAAGGAAUUUUCCCAUAUGAGAAAAGAAGAGAACACUGGCAUCUGUUGAAAUUCGGAAGUUCUGAGAUUAUAAUUACAGUAUUUUAAAAAAUUACACUGAAGUGUACAUACAUAAAGCAGGUCUUUCACCCAGUGAACAGGAUGUUUUGCUUUAGCAGCAGUGACAUAAAAUUCCACGUUAGAUAAGCAUAUAUUACCUACAUUAAAUAUUUCUUGAAAAGCAGAUUUUAAUAGUUUAAUUUUAUGUGGACAUAUGUUAAAUUAUUCAACAGUACCCUAUUAAGCAUUUGGUUUUAAAAUUUUUAUGCUAAUACAAAGCUUAAGUAAUUUAAAAUUUUGAGAGCAUCCCUGUUAGUGUUAAUUUCUGAGUAAAUUCAUUGGAUCAGUUGGACUUUUCAUGCUUUUGAAAUAGCCUUGCUAAAAUGCUCCCCCCAUAAAGUUAAGUUUUAGGAAAUGGGAAGAGGAGUAAACUAGAGGCAAGGGAGUUGAGAGAGCUUGAAGGUGUGGUGACUAAAGGCUACAGUUACGGGGCUAAAUUUGAGAUUUGUAGGCUAACUGUAUUUUCAAGUUUCUGAACUUUUGCUUAUGCAAGAUAUUCAUCCCAAAGCCUCUAGCGUCAUAUUUUUCUCACCCAAAUAACUGCGUUUCCACAAUAUUAUUUAUAUAGUUGUUAGUCUAUCUCUGCAGUCCUUGAAGGUGAUGUUGAUGUUACUAGGCUGUGUGUUUUGGGGGCUCAGCAGUGGCCUGAAGUGAGUGUGCAAUAAAUGUUAAGUUGAAACUUC